CUUAGACUAAUUCUGAAUUGUCCCUGGACCUUAAAAUGAGGGUAGAAUCCCUGAGUUAUCUAGUUUCUGUGUAUGAGUAGUGGAAAUGUGAACAAAAUCUGUUAUAUUAAGGAGAAAAGGUAUAAUGAGUACCAGGUAGCAACUGUGACCAGUAAUAUAGAUUGGCUCACUCUAUACCUCUGCAACCCCAUUGUACAAUGUGUGCCUUCCUCUACAUUGGAGCCCGAAUGGGUGAAAGCUCAAUUUCUCAGACCCCCUUGUUGCUAGGAUUCCCUUUGUGACAUAGCUUUUGCUGAGCAGGCGCACUUGUGUGAGACUUGGAGAAAUGAAUGUUGUUGAGAUGAAGGCUGGAUAGUUCUUCUGGCAUUUGUCAACCUAAAUAAAGAGCAGGGCGAAGAGAGACCAGCACGUGGAGCACCAACAGCUAGAAACAACCACCGAGACGCAGGAACCUCCCAGGUUCCUAGAGUAGCCCUGGAAAUGACGCUGGGGGAGGUAAACCCCUGUCCGUUCGUGCGACCCCAGAGGCUAUAGUGUUCGCGGUCUUGUUUUUCUGGAAGUGGGCCUCCGCGAUCUCGGGAACCAACACCCCGAAUCCGGCGCCCAAGCAGGGAGGCCAGCUGCUUUAGGCGGCUCCAGAAAGGCCAGGCUUCGGAGCCUCUAACCUGAUGAAGGUGGGACUUCGGCAAAGUCGAGAAACCUAAGUCUGGGAAGAGUUGGUAUACCCAUGGCCCACGUUCUUGCUCAGAAGAAGCAGACUGCAAAAUUCUGGAGGUGACAAAGGGAAGAUGAAGGCACAUAAACACCUGCUCCUCCCCUCCAGACCCCAAAGCAAUUUCGGCGAGUUUUGGAAGGGAAUGAAGGUGACAACUGUGCUAGGACUCAUCUGGCCUGGGAGCAGAUGGCGCAGGCCUGGAUGUCGCUACCGGAGAAGGUCCAUCGGGAAGCAGCCUGGCCUCGCGGGCGGUGGACAAUGUGGAGGAGAGAGAAUUUCCAGGCAGCAGGAUUAUAAACAAAUUCACGCUGAGAAAUAGCCUGGUGACCUUAGCUAAAGUACAUAGUAAGAGCAG
rnacentral:lncRNA from 1 species